GGGGGAUUGGCUCAGUCGGCUAGAGCACAGGCUUUGCAAGCCUGGGGUCGUGGGUUCGAGCCCCACAUCCUCCA
rnacentral:tRNA from 1 species